UACAGAGGUCCCAAGCGUUGUUCGGAUUCACUGGGCGUAAAGGGUGCGUAGGUGGUUAGGUAAGUCCGAUGUGAAAUCUCCAGGCUCAACCUGGAAAUGGCAUUGGAUACUAUCUAGCUUGAGGAGUGGAGGGGGGACUGGAAUUCUCGGUGUAGCAGUGAAAUGCGUAGAUAUCGAGAGGAACACCAGUGGCGAAAGCGGCGCACUGGACCAUAACUGACGCUGAGGCGCGGAAGCUAGGGGAGCAAACAGG
rnacentral:rRNA from 1 species